GCUUUGGAAAGAAAGACAAGCUGCUGUUUGUCUCUUGGUGCACAUUCCAACCGAUCAUCAUUUAUGUCAACAGACAAAAUGUAUAGUUGGAUGAAUACCGCUGAAACCCCAGACAGAUAGAAGAUCCAGCACAAGCUUGGUGCAACCACGGCAGAGACAGAUUGCCUCUCCUCCUGCCUACUGGCAUAUAUUAAUCCUGUGACGGUGAUAGAUGGUACUAAUGAAGGCCACAGAGAGCAGUUUGCACAGAACAACCUAAAGAUGAGAUGUCAGUUACAGAAUUGCACGUCAACUUUGGAGAACCACGAUCUGCUGGAUAUAAUGCAAGAAAUUAAGUCAAAUAUCUUGCUCUGGACAUACAGGACUGGAAGAAUUUGGUUACCUGAUGUACCAAAAGUCACAGAUUUUUACUAAACUAAUAAUCAGACAAUUGACAUGUUGCACAUGGGAGCAAGUGUUCAGAAGUCUAUUUGUAUCAGAAGUGUGAAGAAAGCUCAGCACACCUGGAUGCUCUCUGUCUCAUGCAAACUGGAGGGCAAGGACAUAUCUGAAUUUAAUGGACAGCUUUUAUAAAGAGCCAAUUCCAUAGUUGAAAGGGAAUUUACAUCAAGAAGUUUAUGAUGAUUAGUUUGAAAUGUGUUUCUUCAUUUACCAAAGGAGCUGGAGACAACAUAUGAUAACUGGCUGUAAAAUUAUUAAAUACAAUCAAAGAAUUCAUUGUAAAUUGAUUAAUCAGAUGGAAAAUUGGAAGUGUCACUUGGCAGUGCCUAAUAAAUGACCCCUAAACCAUUGGUGAUUCUAUGGUUUCCAAGAUGACAGAACCAGAUAUUUCUGCCUCAAAUUAUGUAUUUUUGGUAGUAAUUGAGGUUUUGGAGGCUUAUUGGUCCAGCUAUUCAAAAGGAAGGAAAAGACACAAAUAGAUUGCAAAUUUUCUGAUACCCUGAAUUCCUCCCCAGGUCCAAUUGGAGAUGUCCAAAACAGGCAUUUGGUUGGUUUAACAUGAGAUACAGAAAAUACCCAACUUGGCCAGUGUAGUAAUUAUGGUUUUAAUUAUUGUGUAAUACACCUUUAAGAAUAAAUGAUUGUUAAGGGAGAUCAUAUGAUCUUUAGUACCCAAUAGGAGAGUAGCACAGGCUACCUUAGCAGUCAGUAGCUAGUAGUUUGGAGUUAAUGUGUAGUGAUAGAGUUUGAGUUGAAAGCACAUAUGUAAUUGCUGCUGAGUACCUUAUAAAUAAACUUAAAGUUUCCACCCAAGAUCUGCUGAUCAACUCCAUCAAUAGUACCAACUCGGCCACCAUUCACAACAAACUGGCGAUGAGGAUGAAACAAGUUUAAGACAAGAAAUCCAGUGAAAAGAAAUUGAACCUGUACCUCGCCCAGUGAGUGUGGGUAGACGUGCUGUUCGAAUCGAUGAUGUAAGUCCCUCUCAAGAUGCCACAAUUCAGAAGAAUUGACCUUUUUGAUCCAGCCACCGACGUUUGACCUCAUUACAUUGAAUGUCUCAUGUUCUUUUUCCAAGCAAAUGAGAUUAUGAGAGAUAAGAAGAGGUGAGGGGCCUCUUAAGUACAUGUGGGAAUAAAACCUAUGGCUUGCUUUGAAGUUUGACGGCAUCCAGUGACCCAGAUUUGACAACUUUUGAUGAAUUAGUGGAACUCAUGAAGGGUCAUUAUCAAUCAAAGCCCUCAGUAACGAUGCAAAUGUUCAAGAUGAAUUUAAGAAAUAGAGCCCCAAGUGAGCCAGUUGCAUGCUAUGUGGUAAGUUUGAAGCAGUUAACAGAACAUUGUGAGUUUGGUACAUCUCUAAGCAACAUGCUCAGAGAUUGUUUAGUGUGUGGUCUGAAUGAGGUCAUGAUUUAGGAGAGAUUGUUGUCCAAAGCAAAUUUGGAUUUCAAGAAGGCGCUAGAGCUAGCACUGGCCAUGGAAAGCACAGUAAGAGAUUCAAAAGCAAUAAAGGGUGUGCAAAAUGGCACCAUCUUCCACAUCAGGUGGGAAACCCCAGCCAAAAAGGGCGCAAAAAUGCAAAACUCUGCAGAGAAGCAGGGAACAGCCCCCAUUCACCACAAAAUGGCUUAGCGGUGAAAACAAAGAAUAAUUUCAAUAGCGGUGGAAACAAGCAGUUUUUUUAACAUUUGGCAGUUUAAAGAAAUUGAAUGUUAUUUUUGUCUUAGAAAUUGACUUAUAAUGAGACAGUGCAAGGAAAGAUUCAAGCAGGCUUUUAAACAAAAGAAAAACA